CAACCAGCAAUCCGCAUACAAAACGCACAAAGGGAAAUGAGUACAAAUGAGGUCGUAGCAUCAGGUUUCGGCAAAAUUUGUAGCAGAAGCGCUAACCUUGCCGAUCCUGACUUUCAACUAGCAAUUGACUUUCAAGAUCCUGACUUUCAACUAGCAAUUCACGAACAAAACCCGAAGGGGAAAUUAGUGAUCUGGAUGAGUACUCACAAAACGCGCAGGUAACUUAAAUUUCACACACACAAGUACGUGUUCUUAGAUUACAGGGAUACUCUGCUGCUCCAAACACCACUCUGGGACUUGCUAUUUACAGAAAGCUCUUAGCUAUGGCUUCCAGCAGCUCAGACCCAAACUGACCGACGCGACGACGACGAGCAGUCGAGCAAACAGCAGAGUGGUGCAAGACAACAGCAGCAAGCAACAACCAGUGGUGGUGGUAGUACUAUGGUACAGCACAGUACAGAUCCGGCCGCCGGAAGCACGCCGGAACGCCGCGGGAGCUCGCCGACCGAGCAGAGAGAGCGUAGCAUCACUUGGGCCCCCAGAGCAGCAGGUGCAUCACCUUGGCCGUCUUGCCGUGGUCCUCGCGCCCGCCGCGCCGCCCCGGCUGCGGCUGCUGCUGCCGCCCCGCCGCCACGCCGGCGUCGCGCGCCGUCAGCGCGCGCCGGAGGGCCGCGAGCUCCGGCCACCUGCUCUCCCGGCCGCCGCCGCCGCUCAUGGCUCCUGCCGCAGCUGCUGCGCCACCGUAGCACCUCUCGGCUCUCGGCUUCUGCUACAAACAAAUCAUGCCGUUAGCAGCUAACUCUACUCACCAGCACCCACCAGGCCGGCCACUUAUAUAUAGCGGCGAGGAGCCGGCGGCGAGCCUGCCAGCGAAGACGUGACGUGUCCAGACUCCAGCGGAGGGCCCGGCGCGGCAGCUGGGGAUAAGCGGUAACAAAUAUCGCGCCGCGUUCUUAUCAAA
rnacentral:lncRNA from 1 species